GUGGGGAAUAUUGGACAAUGGGCGAAAGCCUGAUCCAGCCAUGCCGCGUGCAGGAUGAAGGCCUUCGGGUUGUAAACUGCUUUUGUACGGAACGAAAAGACUCCUUCUAAUAAAGGGGAUCCAUGACGGUACCGUAAGAAUAAGCACCGGCUAACUACGUGCCAGCAGCCGCGGUAAUACGUAGGGUGCAAGCGUUAAUCGGAAUUACUGGGCGUAAAGCGUGCGCAGGCGGUUAUAUAAGACAGAUGUGAAAUCCCCGGGCUCAACCUGGGAACUGCAUUUGUGACUGUAUAGCUAGAGUACGGUAGAGGGGGAUGGAAUUCCGCGUGUAGCAGUGAAAUGCGUAGAUAUGCGGAGGAACACCGAUGGCGAAGGCAAUCCCCUGGACCUGUACUGACGCUCAUGCACGAAAGCGUGGGGAGCAAACAGGAUUAGAUACCCGGGUAGUCC
rnacentral:rRNA from 1 species